CGCUCUCCCGCCGAGAGGCUCCGAGCCCGGCCGCGCUCGCCGGUCCCGCCUCUACCCAGCAAUGUGAAGAGUCAGCAAGUUCCCAGCGGCCGCUGAAACCCUCUGCGUCUCCGGGGUCCGUAGUGCGCCGGCGCAGCCUGGCCGGGGCGGCGCGGAGCAUGCUGGGAGCUGUAGUUCUAGCGCCKCUGCGUCCCGCCCGCGGCGCCUGGCCCGGCGCCGGCAGCUGCACUACGACUCCCGGUAUCCCCCGCGCCGCGCCGCGAGGAGCCGAGUUGAAGCGGGUGGCGGCGGAGCGCACCCCCUCCCCCCCGCCAAAAAGCCCCAAACCAAAACAAAAACAAACCACCCCCCCCCCUCAAAACCCCGGAAAUGGCGGUGCCGGGAGGGGGCUGCGAGUGCCGGGGGUGCUGAUCCGGCCGCCCGCUGCCGCGUCCCCCCCCCUUCCCCGUCCCUCCCCGCCCAUGGGCGAGACAUGGACUACGAGUUCAAAUCCAAGCUGGCGGCCGAGCGCGAGCGGGUGGAGGAUCUGUUCGAGUACGAGGGCUGCAAAGUGGGCAGAGGCACCUACGGGCACGUCUACAAGGCCCGCCGCAAGGACGGAUUCCAGAAGGGCUUCGUGUAUGGACUUCAAACCUUGGAGAUAGCGGAGUAUUCGGCAGAAGGAAAGAUGAAAAGGAAUAUGCACUGAAGCAAAUUGAAGGUACAGGGAUAUCCAUGUCGGCCUGUAGAGAGAUUGCAGUAAGUGUACAUAAAUGAAAGAAAGUGUUUUUACUGACAUUAUAAUUCAACAGAUAAUAUAUUUUUAUUCUCUGAAUUAAAUAACGCAAAGCUUAUCUAAAUGUUUUCCUUGAAGUAUGCAAGCGUGAAAGUUAUUCAAACAUGAGCUUUCCUUAAA
rnacentral:lncRNA from 1 species